GACGAACGCUGGCUGCGUGCUUAACACAUGCAAGUCGAACGUUGAAGCCUGGUGCUUGCACCGGGUGGAUGAGUGGCGAACGGGUGAGUAACACGUGAGUAACCUGCCCCUGACUUCGGGAUAAGCCCGGGAAACUGGGUCUAAUACCGGAUACGACUGCCGGACGCAUGUCUGGUGGUGGAAAGUUUUUUCGGUUGGGGAUGGGCUCGCGGCCUAUCAGUUUGUUGGUGAGGUAAUGGCUCACCAAGACGACGACGGGUAGCCGGCCUGAGAGGGCGACCGGCCACACUGGGACUGAGACACGGCCCAGACUCCUACGGGAGGCAGCAGUGGGGAAUAUUGCACAAUGGGGGAAACCCUGACGCAGCGACGCAGCGUGCGGGAUGACGGCCUUCGGGUUGUAAACCGCUUUCAGCAGGGAAGAAGCGCAAGUGACGGUACCUGCAGAAGAAGUACCGGCUAACUACGUGCCAGCAGCCGCGGUAAUACGUAGGGUACGAGCGUUGUCCGGAAUUAUUGGGCGUAAAGAGCUCGUAGGUGGUUGGUCACGUCUGCUGUGGAAACGCAACGCUUAACGUUGCGCGUGCAGUGGGUACGGGCUGACUAGAGUGCAGUAGGGGAGUCUGGAAUUCCUGGUGUAGCGGUGAAAUGCGCAGAUAUCAGGAGGAACACCGGUGGCGAAGGCGGGACUCUGGGCUGUAACUGACACUGAGGAGCGAAAGCAUGGGGAGCGAACAGGAUUAGAUACCCUGGUAGUCCAUGCCGUAAACGUUGGGCACUAGGUGUGGGGGGCAUUCCACGUUCUCCGCGCCGUAGCUAACGCAUUAAGUGCCCCGCCUGGGGAGUACGGUCGCAAGGCUAAAACUCAAAGGAAUUGACGGGGGCCCGCACAAGCGGCGGAGCAUGCGGAUUAAUUCGAUGCAACGCGAAGAACCUUACCAAGGCUUGACAUACACCGGACCGUCCUGGAAACAGGUCUUCUUCUUUGAAGCUGGUGUACAGGUGGUGCAUGGUUGUCGUCAGCUCGUGUCGUGAGAUGUUGGGUUAAGUCCCGCAACGAGCGCAACCCUCGUUCUAUGUUGCCAGCACGUGAUGGUGGGAACUCAUAGGAGACUGCCGGGGUCAACUCGGAGGAAGGUGGGGAUGACGUCAAAUCAUCAUGCCCUUUAUGUCUUGGGCUUCACGCAUGCUACAAUGGCUGGUACAGAGAGAGGCGAACCCGUGAGGGCAAGCGAAUCCCUUAAAGCCAGUCUCAGUUCGGAUCGUAGUCUGCAAUUCGACUACGUGAAGUCGGAGUCGCUAGUAAUCGCAGAUCAGCAACGCUGCGGUGAAUACGUUCCCGGGCCU
rnacentral:rRNA from 1 species